UGGGGUCUUAGCUCUACCUUAGUUACCUUACGCUGCUUAACAAAUUAUUUAACUUAAGAGCCAUUCAAAUAAGGCACAGCUUAUUUGAAAUAGGAGACAACCUUAAAUACUGGGUAAACAACAAUAUAAUUAUUGCUUAAGUCGGCUUAAAAGCAGCCACCUUUUAAAAAGCGUCAAAGCUUAAACACCUACUAUUAAUAAUCCCCAUAUACUACCUGAACCCUUUAUUUCUACUGAGUAAUUUUAUACAAUUAUAAAAGCUAUUAUGCUAGAACUAGUAACAAGAACAUGCUUCUCCAAAAUGUCAGUAUGAACCAAAACGGACUAUCCAUUGGUGAUUAACGUUAAUACAUCUAUUAUAGCAACACACACAAGAAAACCCUAUAUAUUCUAACGUCAACCUAACACUAGAACAUUCCAGGAAAGAUUAAAAGAGAAAGAAGGAACUCGGCAAAUUUUAGCCCCGCCUGUUUACCAAAAACAUCGCCUCUUGAACAAAUAUAGGAGGUCCAGCCUGCCCAGUGACAUAGUUUAACGGCCGCGGUACCCUAACCGUGCGAAGGUAGCAUAAUCACUUGUUUCUUAAAUAGGGACUAGUAUCAACGGCAUUACGAGGGCUGCACUGUCUCCUUUCUCCAAUCAGUGAAACUGAUCUCCCCGUGAAGAAGCGGGGAUUUUGAUAUAAGACGAGAAGACCCCAUGGAGCUUUAAGCAACGAAUUUACUACACACCAACAAUUCAACUAAUCUUAAAACCUAGAUUCUAGCUUUUGGUUGGGGGGACCGCGGAGUAUAACCCAACCUCCGCAACUAACGGGCUCUGCCCUUAUCCACGAACUACAACUCUAAGAAUCAUAAAAUUGAUGUCUUUGACCCGAAAACUCGAUCAAUGGACCAAGUUACCCUGGGGAUAACAGCGCAAUCUACUUUAAGAGCCCCUAUCGACAAGUAGGUUUACGACCUCGAUGUUGGAUCAGGGUAUCCUAGUGGUGCAGCCGCUACUAAUGGUUCGUUUGUUCAACGAUUAAAACCCUACGUGAUCUGAGUCAAAAACCGGAGAGUGAUUUCCCCUCCUUUGCCCCGGUCAGAAA
rnacentral:rRNA from 1 species